rnacentral:tRNA from 1 species
GGAGAGGUGGCCGAGUGGUCGAAGGCGCUCCCCUGCUAAGGGAGUAAGCGGGCAACCGCUUCGAGGGUUCGAAUCCCUUCCUCUCCG